rnacentral:rRNA from 1 species
AGCAGCCGCGGUAAUUCCAGCUCCAAUAGCGUAUAUUAAAGUUGUUGCAGUUAAAAAGCUCGUAGUUGAAUUUCGGGAUUGGCGCAUCGGUCGUGCCCCACGGGGUAUGAACUGGUGCAGUCAAUUUCUCACCUUCUGGAGAACCGCGAUGUCCUUAAUUGGAUGCCGCGGGGAACCAGGACCUUUACUUUGAAAAAAUUAGAGUGUUUAAAGCAGGCAUUUUUGCUUGAAUACAUUAGCAUGGAAUAAUAAAAUAGGACGGCAUGGUUCUAUUUUGUUGGUUUCUAGGACCACCGUAAUGAUUAAUAGGGAUAGUUGGGGGCAUUAGUAUUCAAUUGUCAGAGGUGAAAUUCUUGGAUUUAUUGAAGACUAACUACUGCGAAAGCAUUUGCCAAGGAUGUCUUCAUUAAUCAAGAACGAAAGUUAGGGGAUCGAAGACGAUCAGAUACCGUCGUAGUCUUAACCAUAAACUAUGCCGACUAGGAAUCAGACGAUGUUAAUUUUUAAUGACUCGUUUGGC